UACUGACUGACCUAGCAGACGACGUAGAGACAGUAUAUAAAUAACUACGAGGUAAAUAAAAAUG
rnacentral:ncRNA from 1 species